UGAGGGUUGAGGGGAGUGGGAACAAAUGAUUAUCCCCCACUAUCAUCUAAAGACAAUGUAGCUUACAUUUCUCCAUCUUGCUCCAAAGCAGCAAAUAUCAGAAGUCAAAAUCUAUUAGGUAUUUUCUAGAUUUACGAGAAAAUUCAAAAGGAAGAGAAAUGCAUAACAGCAAGAGAAACAAGGGGAAGUCUCACUAAUCAUUCCACUAUGAGCAAAAGUGAUUUCCAAUGUAACAACCAGAAGCAGAACUCCUGACACGAUUCUUCAGUGCAUCUCAAUCAUCAUCCUACUAUACCCCAAAUGCCAACAGAAAAGAUCUGUGUCACUCCGAGGGGCCACUGGCUGUUGAGAUUUGUCUCUUUGCUCAGACUCAACUGUAUGGAGAAGAAAAGGAAAACCUCUGCUCUCCAAGGAGUGGAGAAUGAAAUAUAAACAUAAACCAAAUCACCGCAUCAAUAUCAUUCUAACUACAGCGGCAGAGUUCUGUCAUAAUGGAUAUGACUGAUACUGCCCACUCAAGCCUACCUUCAAAGCUUGGCAAGCCCUAGCUGAAGUAUUUCUGGGGUGCUGGAGAUUGUCACACCGGGGAAUGAUAUCCACAGUUCUCCUAAGCAAAGGGUCCCUUGAGAACAGCCAGCUGGAGAGGCCCUUUGGGUCUUGCAACUACUUGCCCCAAGACAACUCAUGACCAAGAGCACUUUGCAAAUGUCAUUUCUCAGUGCUUUUAGUGUUCUGCAGUGCCUUAGAUACGGUGUUGGCGG
rnacentral:lncRNA from 11 species